rnacentral:tRNA from 1 species
GGAGAGUUGGCAGAGUGGCCGAAUGCGGCGGUCUCGAAAACCGUUAUCCCGCAAGGGAUCCUGGGUUCGAAUCCCAGACUCUCCG